CAGAGACAACCAGGAGGUUGGCUUAGAAGCAGCCACCCUUGAAAGAGUGCGUAAUAGCUCACUGGUCAAGUGAUUCCGCGCCGACAAUGUAGCGGGGCUCAAGCGUACCGCCGAAGUCGUGUCAUUCCAGCAUAAAGACCAACGUCUGCUGGGAUGGGUAGGGGAGCGUCGUGUGCCGGGUGAAGCAGCCGUGGAAACGAGUUGUGGACGGUUCACGAGUGAGAAUGCAGGCAUGAGUAGCGAUACACACGUGAGAAACGUGUGCGCCGAUUGACUAA
rnacentral:rRNA from 1 species